AAGUCGUAACAAGGUUGGGAUGGCGCGUCCUUCCGGGGCACCUGCCGAAGCCUUUGCAGCCCUUGCGGGCAGGCCGCGCGACUCUAAACUGGCGGCCGUUGCAAGUCGGGCGAGAGCCCGGCGACACUUUCGAAUUGCGGGGAAGCCCCAGGGCGGUGCACUACCAACCCGUGCGGGAGACCGCCGGGGGCCCGCGCACAACGGCGCGGGGGUGUGGUGAUAACGUGCACCGACGCGGGCGAUCCGCAGCCUAGUCCCCCGUAUUGGCGGGAAAGGUUCACAGACUAAGCGGAAGUGGGUGGGGCGCCGGCGCGCCCCGCUUAAGAUAUAGUCGGGCCUCAGCGCGAGACCGUUGGGGGAGCAGCCGUUCCGUAGGUGAACCUGCGGAAGGAUCAUUACCGUGAAGCGGCCGGGUUCGCCCGCGCCCGCUCUCAAACCCGUGUCUACCAGCCGGUUGCUUCGGCGGGCCGUGGCCCUGCCACCGGCGGCUCCGGCCGUCGAGUGCCCGUCCGAGGAGCGCGAGAACCAGCGUCACCCGCAGUCUGAGCGGAUCGAGAAACGAACAAAACUUUCAACAACGGAUCUCUUGGUUNCCGGCAUCGAUGAAGAACGCAGCGAAAUGCGAUAAAUAAUGUGAAUUGCAGAAUUCAGUGAAUCAUCGAGUCUUUGAACGCACAUUGCGCCCCCGGUAUUCCGGGGGGCACGCCUGUCCGAGCGUCAUUCCAGCCCAUCGAGCCCGCUCGGUCUUGGGCGUCGCCCCUNCAUUCAGUGGCGCGCCCCAAAAACGUUGGCGAAGCGGGAGCGUCGAGCGUGACGGACUCACCGGGCCUCGGCGCCUCCGCCCGCCUCNCACCCCAAAGUUGACCUCGGAUCAGGCGGGGAUACCCGCUGAACUUAAGCAUAUCAAUAAGCGGAGGAAAAGAAACCAACGGGGAUUGCCUCAGUAACGGCGAGUGAAGCGGCAACAGCUCAAAUUUGAAAUCUGGCCCUCGGGUCCGAGUUGUAAUUUGAAGAGGAUGCUUCGCGAACGGCGCCGCCCCAAGUUCCCUGGAACCGGACGCUACAGAGGGUGACAGCCCCGUAUCCGGGCGGCGACCCGCCGCGUGUGAAGCUCCUUCGACGAGUCGAGUUGUUUGGGAAUGCAGCUCUAAUCGGGAGGUAAAUUUCUUCUAAAGCUAAAUAUCGGCCGGAGACCGAUAGCGCACAAGUAGAGUGAUCGAAAGAUGAAAAGCACUUUGAAAAGAGAGUUAAAAAGCACGUGAAAUUGUUGAAAGGGAAGCGCUCGCGACCAGACUCGGCCGCGGUGGAUCAGCCCUCGCUCCGCGUUGGCGCACUCCGCCGUGGCCGGGCCAGCGUCGGUUCGGGCGGCCGGACAAAGGCGGCGGGAAUGCAGCUCCCCUAGGGGAGUGUUAUAGCCCGCCGCGGAAUACGGCCAGCCCGGAUCGAGGACCGCGCUUCGGCUAGGACGCUGGCGUAAUGGUCGUGAGCGGC
rnacentral:rRNA from 1 species